rnacentral:rRNA from 1 species
GAUAAGGAGCUUGCUCCUUUGACGUUAGCGGCGGACGGGUGAGUAACACGUGGAUAACCUACCUAUAAGACUGGGAUAACUUCGGGAAACCGGAGCUAAUACCGGAUAACAUAUUGAACCGCAUGGUUCAAUAGUGAAAGGCGGCUUUGCUGUCACUUAUAGAUGGAUCCGCGCCGUAUUAGCUAGUUGGUAAGGUAACGGCUUACCAAGGCAACGAUACGUAGCCGACCUGAGAGGGUGAUCGGCCACACUGGAACUGAGACACGGUCCAGACUCCUACGGGAGGCAGCAGUAGGGAAUCUUCCGCAAUGGGCGAAAGCCUGACGGAGCAACGCCGCGUGAGUGAUGAAGGUCUUCGGAUCGUAAAACUCUGUUAUCAGGGAAGAACAAAUGUGUAAGUAACUGUGCACAUCUUGACGGUACCUGAUCAGAAAGCCACGGCUAACUACGUGCCAGCAGCCGCGGUAAUACGUAGGUGGCAAGCGUUAUCCGGAAUUAUUGGGCGUAAAGCGCGCGUAGGCGGUUUUUUAAGUCUGAUGUGAAAGCCCACGGCUCAACCGUGGAGGGUCAUUGGAAACUGGAAAACUUGAGUGCAGAAGAGGAAAGUGGAAUUCCAUGUGUAGCGGUGAAAUGCGCAGAGAUAUGGAGGAACACCAGUGGCGAAGGCGACUUUCUGGUCUGUAACUGACGCUGAUGUGCGAAAGCGUGGGGAUCAAACAGGAUUAGAUACCCUGGUAGUCCACGCCGUAAACGAUGAGUGCUAAGUGUUAGGGGGUUUCCGCCCCUUAGUGCUGCAGCUAACGCAUUAAGCACUCCGCCUGGGGAGUACGACCGCAAGGUUGAAACUCAAAGGAAUUGACGGGGACCCGCACAAGCGGUGGAGCAUGUGGUUUAAUUCGAAGCAACGCGAAGAACCUUACCAAAUCUUGACAUCCUUUGACUGCUCUAGAGAUAGAGUCUUCCCCUUCGGGGGACAAAGUGACAGGUGGUGCAUGGUUGUCGUCAGCUCGUGUCGUGAGAUGUUGGGUUAAGUCCCGCAACGAGCGCAACCCUUAAGCUUAGUUGCCAUCAUUAAGUUGGGCACUCUAAGUUGACUGCCGGUGACAAACCGGAGGAAGGUGGGGAUGACGUCAAAUCAUCAUGCCCCUUAUGAUUUGGGCUACACACGUGCUACAAUGGACAAUACAAAGGGCAGCUAAACCGCGAGGUCAAGCAAAUCCCAUAAAGUUGUUCUCAGUUCGGAUUGUAGUCUGCAACUCGACUACAUGAAGCUGG